GCGGAUCUCGCCAAUUGGUAAGGCAGGCGGAAUCCUAAUCCGCCAAUCCUGGUUCACCUGCCUGUCGGCAGGCAGGAAUCCGGGGAUCCGCUCCA
rnacentral:tRNA from 1 species